ensembl:lncRNA
UUUCAUUUACUGUUAUAAUGACUGAUACGUAUAAAGGGAUUUAUAAGGGCUUUUCAUUUCAAAUUACAUUUUUCUUUAAAUGUCCAAAGUUCCUGUGUGGAAACAACUGCAACUUUUAUGAAUAGACGGGUCUUGCCUUUAAAAAUAUGUUUUUAAAGAGCAAAUUCUGCAGAAUUAAUUAUUAAAAAGACUAUGGGACUUUGGAGAGGCUUUCAUCAACAUUGUCCCUAAACUACCCUUAGUUCUACCCAGUGGCUCAGAAUUUGGGGCAAUUUUUUCCCCCAGGUUAUAUGUGACAAUGUCUGGAGACAUUGGUUGUCACAACUUGGGGGGACAGUACUGGCAUUUAUGAAUAGAGGUCAGGCGUGCUGCUAAACAUCCUACAAUACACAUCCACACAUCAGGAGCAAGAACACAUCCAAUUCAAAAUGUCAAUAAUGCCAAGACUGAGAACCCCCGGAGUAAGCCUCACAAAAGCUCUUAUGACCUCACAGGGCAGCUGUCUUAUUGUCAUCUCAAAUCUACCUCAGUGAUUUCCUUGACAUUCAAAACACCUAUUCCUACUGAACUUUAGAGUUCUUGAUUUACCACCACUGGAAUUUGCUCUAUCAAUGGCAAAAAAAAAAAAAAAAAGGAACUAAAUAUGGAGAAUAUUCUUAAUUCUUCCUCAAAUAAUGUCUCUGUAUUUUAUUGAUAUCUUAUCAAGAAGUUAGAGAGUAAUUUUAUUUUCUGUCAACAAUGGAUCCUGUCUGUGGAUAUUCAUAAUGGCCCAAUAUCAUGUUAAAAAAAAUUAUAUUUUCAAAAACAAUGUUGAGAGUCAGAAAAUGAAGCAGAUAUAGUAUUUCCUAUGGCCAAUGCUACAAUAAUGUGGAAAGGACUGUUUCUAUAGAAACAGAAGUGCAGUAGGGCCACAUAGAAGGCCAGGUUAGCACACAGGACAACUGGUCCCUGACCUGACACACAAAAUAUGCCAUAGACUUUGAAAAUUACGUCAGUUCUUUAAAAAAUAAAAAGGUGGGGUGGGGUGGGGGGAUUUCUGUAAAUAAGUAUACAGGAGCACCAAACUGAGUGCCAGUGUUUUUCUAAUCUUAAAGGAAAACAGUGCUGUUUUGAAUCUAUUUAUCAGCUGCUAUUGCCACCAAGCAGGGUUGAUUUAAAGGGAAAAAGAAAACUCUUGUAUUUCCUUGGGAGAAUUAAAAAGCAGGACAAUUAAAGAGAGAGUUAAACUCAAGUGAAAAUAGCAUACAGCAGGCAUCACAGUGCCACAGGUGGCAAAUGCAAGCCACCCAACCCAAUACAAAAUUAUUGCACUUAGCAUGAUUGGACAUUCUUAAAUGCACUCAGCCAAACUGUCCUUAAAAAGGUAUUAUUUCACAUUGACUCCAGACCAUAAUCUGGCAUAACUGUCUAUCAAGAUACUUUUCUGAAGUUAGGUUUAAUUAUAGUGGAAUUAAGUGCCUUUUCAUACCCAGAAAAAUAUUUUAGAGAUUAAAGAACAGUGUUUAAAUGCAAACUAAUAUGCAUUCCUUCAGCCAGUUGCACAAAAACUGUGAAAUUAUAAUUUUACCUUUUAAUAAAGGCAGAAUGAUGUGAAAUCAAAUUAGACCUUCAGA